rnacentral:rRNA from 1 species
AUUGAACGCUGGCGGCAUGCCCAACACAUGCAAGUCGAACGGGGCAGCAAUGCCUAGUGGCGGACGGGUGAGGAAUACGUAGGAAUCUGCCCUUAAGUGGGGGAUAACCAGGGGAAACCCUGACUAAUACCGCAUGAUCUCUUCGGAGCAAAGAGGGGGACCGCAAGGCCUCUCGCUUCUGGAUGAGCCUACGUCUGAUUAGCUAGUUGGUAGGGUAAAGGCCUACCAAGGCGACGAUCAGUAACUGGUCUGAGAGGAUGAUCAGUCACACCGGAACUGAGACACGGUCCGGACUCCUACGGGAGGCAGCAGUGGGGAAUAUUGGACAAUGGGCGCAAGCCUGAUCCAGCAAUGCCGCGUGUGUGAAGAAGGCCUUCGGGUUGUAAAGCACUUUAGCCUGGAAAGAAAAAACUUUGGUUAACACCCAAAGUCUUGACGGUACCAGGAGAAUAAGCACCGGCUGACUCUGUGCCAGCCGCCGCAGUAACAC